GCAUCAAUGGGGUAGUGGUAACCUGGGUAGUUGAGCCAUGGACAUUGCAUCCCAAGACUCGACCCGCCGGGGGUUCGAUUCCCUCUUGAUGCA